rnacentral:rRNA from 1 species
GAUGAACGCUAGCUACAGGCUUAACACAUGCAAGUCGAGGGGCAGCAUGGUCUUAGCUUGCUAAGGCUGAUGGCGACCGGCGCACGGGUGAGUAACACGUAUCCAACCUGCCGUCUACUCUUGGCCAGCCUUCUGAAAGGAAGAUUAAUCCAGGAUGGCAUCAUGAGUUCACAUGUCCGCAUGAUUAAAGGUAUUUUCCGGUAGACGAUGGGGAUGCGUUCCAUUAGAUAGUAGGCGGGGUAACGGCCCACCUAGUCAACGAUGGAUAGGGGUUCUGAGAGGAAGGUCCCCCACAUUGGAACUGAGACACGGUCCAAACUCCUACGGGAGGCAGCAGUGAGGAAUAUUGGUCAAUGGGCGAUGGCCUGAACCAGCCAAGUAGCGUGAAGGAUGACUGCCCUAUGGGUUGUAAACUUCUUUUAUAAAGGAAUAAAGUCGGGUAUGCAUACCCGUUUGCAUGUACUUUAUGAAUAAGGAUCGGCUAACUCCGUGCCAGCAGCCGCGGUAAUACGGAGGAUCCGAGCGUUAUCCGGAUUUAUUGGGUUUAAAGGGAGCGUAGAUGGAUGUUUAAGUCAGUUGUGAAAGUUUGCGGCUCAACCGUAAAAUUGCAGUUGAUACUGGAUGUCUUGAGUGCAGUUGAGGCAGGCGGAAUUCGUGGUGUAGCGGUGAAAUGCUUAGAUAUCACGAAGAACUCCGAUUGCGAAGGCAGCCUGCU